GUAAAUUUCGUUAUGUUCGUAAAAUAACUGUAAUUAUGGUAAC
rnacentral:snRNA from 1 species